ACAUGCCUACAUCAUAGCGUUAAUGCAUUGGAUCCCAUUAGAACUCUGUAGUCAAGUGCGCUCAGGCUAGAGUAUUACUGGGAUGGGUGACCUCCCAGGAAGUCUUAGUGUUUUACAUGCC
rnacentral:rRNA from 1 species